GACGAACGCUGGCGGCGUGCUUAACACAUGCAAGUCGAACGAAGUGGCGAACGGGUGAGUAACGUGUAAUCAACCUCCCCUUCAGAGGGGGACAACAGUUGGAACAGACUGAUAAUACCGCAUACUGCUGGAGGUGAUUGCGUUUGAUGAGCUAGUUGGAGGGGUAACGGCCCACCAAGGCGAUGAUCAGUAGCCGGUCUGAGAGGAGGAACGGCCACAUUGGGACUGAGACACGGCCCAGACUCCUACGGGAGGCAGCAGGGGGGAAUCUUCCGCAAUGGACGAAAGUCUGACGGAGCAACGCCGCGUGAGUGAUGACGGCCUUCGGGUUGUAAAGCUCUGUUAAUCGGGACGCGGUACCUGAAUAGAAAGCCACGGCUAACUACGUGCCAGCAGCCGCGGUAAUUC
rnacentral:rRNA from 1 species